rnacentral:rRNA from 1 species
AGUGAACGCUGGCGGUAGGCCUAACACAUGCAAGUCGAACGGCAGCACAGUAAGAGCUUGCUCUUACGGGUGGCGAGUGGCGGACGGGUGAGGAAUACAUCGGAAUCUACUUUUUCGUGGGGGAUAACGUAGGGAAACUUACGCUAAUACCGCAUACGACCUACGGGUGAAAGCAGGGGAUCUUCGGACCUUGCGCGAUUGAAUGAGCCGAUGUCGGAUUAGCCAGUUGGCGGGGUAAAGGCCCACCAAGGCGACGAUCCGUAGCUGGUCUGAGAGGAUGAUCAGCCACACUGGAACUGAGACACGGUCCAGACUCCUACGGGAGGCAGCAGUGGGGAAUAUUGGACAAUGGGCGCAAGCCUGAUCCAGCCAUACCGAGUGGGUGAAGAAGGCCUUCGGGUUGUAAAGCCCUUUUGUUGGGAAAGAAAAGCAGCAGGUUAAUACCCCGCUGUUCUGACGGUACCCAAAGAAUAAGCACCGGCUAACUUCGUG